rnacentral:rRNA from 1 species
CUGAUGGGAGUGGCGCACGGGUGAGUAACGCGUAUGCAACCUGCCUAUAACUGGAGAAUAGCCCCCGGAAACGGGGAUUAAUGUUCCAUAAUGUUCAGAGAUCGCAUGGUUUUUGGACUAAAGCUCCGGCGGUUAUAGAUGGNNNNGCGUGCCAUUAGCUAGUUGGUGAGGUAACGGCUCACCAAGGCUACGAUGGUUAGGGGGUCUUAAAGGAUGANNCCCCACACUGGUACUGAGACACGGACCAGACCCCUACGGGAGGCAGCAGUGAGGAAUAUUGGUCAAUGGGCGCAAGCCUGAACCAGCCAAGCCGCGUGAAGGAUGACGGCCCUAUGGGUUGUAAACUUCUUUUGUAUGGGAAGAACUCCCCGACGUGUCGGGGGCUGACUGUACUAUACGAAUAAGCAUCGGCUAACUCCGUGCCAGCAGCCGCGGUAAUACGGAGGAUGCAAGCGUUAUCCGGAUUCAUUAGGUAUAAAGGGUGCGUAGGCGGAUUAAUAAGUCAGUGGUGAAAUACUACAGCUCAACUGUAGAACUGCCAUUGAUACUGUUAGUCUUGAGUACAAUUGAGGUAGGCGGAAUGUGUGGUGUAGCGGUGAAAUGCUUAGAUAUCACACAGAACACCGAUUGCGAAGGCAGCUUACUAAACUGUAACUGACGCUGAUGCACGAAAGCAUGGGGAGCAAACAGGAUUAGAUACCCUGGUAGUCCAUGCUGUAAACGAUGAUCACUCGCUGUAUGUCCAUUAGGAUAUGUGGCUGAGCUAACGCAUUAAGUGAUCCACCUGGGGAGUACGGCGGCAACGCUGAAACUCAAAGGAAUUGACGGGGGCCCGCACAAGCGGAGGAACAUGUGGUUUAAUUCGAUNNNACGCGAGGAACNNNACCCGGGUUUAAAUGC